rnacentral:rRNA from 1 species
CAAUAGCGUAUAUUAAAGUUGUUGCAGUUAAAAAGCUCGUAGUUGGACUUCUGAUGUUGGGAUUCGGUCCACCGCAAGGUGAGCACUGAUGUCCUGAUGUCUUCCUCUCGUAGUUGUUUGGCGCACUUGAUUGGGGUGCCGAAUGAAUAUGGGACCUUUACUUUGAAAAAUUAAGAGUGUUCAAAGCAGGCGAUCGCUUGAAUACAUUAGCAUGGAAUAAUGGAAAGGACUUCAACCUCUUCUGUUGGUCUGAGAGGCUGUAGUAAUGAUUAAUAGGGAUAGUUGGGGGCGAUUAGUACUUAACUGUCAGAGGUGAAAUUCUCCGAUUUGUUAAAGACUAACUUAUGCGAAAGCAUUUGUCCAAGG